rnacentral:rRNA from 1 species
AUACGUAUGUCGCAAGCGUUAUCCGGAUUUAUUGGGCGUAAAGCGCGUCUAGGCGGCUUAGUAAGUCUGAUGUGAAAAUGCGGGGCUCAACCCCGUAUUGCGUUGGAAACUGCUAAACUAGAGUACUGGAGAGGUAGGCGGAACUACAAGUGUAGAGGUGAAAUUCGUAGAUAUUUGUAGGAAUGCCGAUGGGGAAGCCAGCCUACUGGACAGAUACUGACGCUAAAGCGCUAAAGCGUGGGUAGCAAACAGGAUUAGAUACCCUGGUAGUCCACGCCGUAAACGAUGAUUACUAGGUGUUGGGGGUCGAACCUCAGCGCCCAAGCUAACGCGAUAAGUAAUCCGCCUGGGGAGUACGUACGCAAGUAUGAAACUCAAAUAAAUUGACGGGG